CUACGAUCAAGUUAAAAAGUACCAACUGUAGAGCUCAGGGGUGAGGACAAUUAAAGUUUUCUACCUUCAGGAUAAUCACUAGAAAAAAAAGGAUAAUCACUAGAAGCAGAACAGGAUAAGCAUUAGUGUGAUGGAAUAGAUGCUCUUUAUUAGCUGAUGCAUUGCUUUUAAUGUAGAAAGACCUUUGAUUUUCUAGCUUUUGGUACCCUUGUAUUUUAAUUAAAGAACCAAAGCACAGCAAAGUUCAGAGAAAUAGGAAGUACUAAUCAACAGACUAAAGAUGUGGUUAGAAAGAAAGCAUAUACAGAGAUGAGAAUGAUGCCUGAGCCUUUGGCAGACUGUAAGGAAUAGUUAGUUAAGCAGGGCAGUUUUUCACAGUUGGAUAUAGAGUAACAUCUCUGGAAUGAAGAGACACACAAGAGCAUAAGUGCUAUUUAUCACCUCUGCUUAAAAUUACGACUCAGUGAGCAGCUGUGUUGGCUGUUGUGCUGCCUGGAUUCCCUCCUUGGGACCAAGACACUCCUUCUCCAGCUGGUGAAUCCCUCUCUAGGUGAGUGAUAUGCAGUAGGAUACUUUCUUGUGAAGCUGAAUGGCAACAGCUCCCAGGCAGCUGUGCCAUCAUGAAGGUGAACAACUGAUACAUCUAACAAUUCUGCACCCAUACAACCAUUCUAUUUUUCACAUUCAGUACAGUAUUUAAUGCAUCACAUGAGAUACUCAUCACUUUAUCAUAUCAGCUUUGUGUUAUAUAUUUUGCCCAACUGUAAACUAAUGCAAGUGUUCUGAACAUGUUUAAGGUUGAAAGCCUAGGGAAAACAUACAAACCAUUUCAUUCUAUAGGAUUGGCUGAGUGAAGAAGAGAAGAAGAAAAAGGGAAAGAGAAAGAAAGAAGAAAGAAAGAAAGAAAGAAAGAAAGAAAGAAAGAAAGAAAGAAAGAAAGAAAGAAGAAAGCAAACUAAGUGUUUUCAUUUACUAUCAUUAAGUACUACUUUUUUAAUUUUUAAAAUCUUUGGAGGUUCAUUUAAAAAAAUAGUAUGAUCUCUCCACAGGAUAGUAAAGCUAAAAUAAAAUAAUUGUCUGUGAAUUGUAUUAU